AACUCCAAAAAGAUGGUCGCUCGUCACCGUUGGUGAUGGGAGGAAAGUCCGGACUCCACAGGGUAACGUAGCGGGUAACGCCCGUCUCCGCUAAGAAACAUGGCGGACGGAUUAGAGCCACAGAGACUAAUGCCGGGGAAUGCCGCGUAGUGAUAUGCGGUAGGCCGGAGUGAAAAGAGGUAAUCUCUACGUGGAGAAAGACCAAAUAGGAGAUGAUUCCUGCACAGUAUGCGGGAGGGAAGCGACCCGUUUCCUUUUUAAAUCUCGGGUGGGUCGUUAGCGGUGUAAGGUAACUUGCAUCCACAAGAUAAAUGACCAUCCUUGCCUGCCAAUAGGCAGGCUCGACAGAAUCCGGCUUAUUUUUGGAGUUUAUU
rnacentral:RNase_P_RNA from 1 species